UACAGAGGGGGCAAGCGUUGUCCGGAAUUACUGGGCGUACAGCGCGCGCAGGCGGUCAUGGACGUGCCGUGUGACAGACGUCGGCUCAACCGACGUAGGCCAGGGUACACGACAUGACUGGAGACAGAGAGAGGGAUGUGGAAUACCCGGUGGAGCGGUGAAAUGCGUAGAUAUCGGGAGGAACACCUGUGGCGAAAGCGGCUCACUGGACCACAACUGACGCUGAGGCGCGAAAGCUAGGGGAGCAAACAGG
rnacentral:rRNA from 1 species